GGCGCGGAAGUGGAAUCUCCCUUUUCUUCUCCUGCCGCUCGUUCUGGGUAUACCCCUGGUGCGGGGCUCCAACCCUCUACCCCUGGUCGUCAACACUUGGCCUUUUAAGAAUGCCACCGAAGCAGGUGCGGAGCGGCAGCCCGGGGUGGGUUGCUGCGCUGUGAGAGCUCCUCUGUGCAGGAAGCUGCACUCAGCCUUUGGCUUUACUAGAGCUGCAAAGGGAUCCAGCUGCAGAAGCUGGUCCUCCUUUCAGCCUUCUUCCUGCAUCUCUGCCCUUACCUGACCCUCUCCAUCCUCCCUACCACUGGUGCAUUUAGGAUCUGGUCAUUUUGUUGCUUCCAGCACCAUGUUGACUGAUCUAACACUUGGGUCUCUGCUUUACUUCUACAGGGUCACCUGCCUUACUUUUUGUCUUUUGCCAUGAACUUUUCUGUUUUCUCCCAUACUACGCUUCUUGUGAAAGAUUCCUUCCUGUUUCUCCAGUAUCUUCUGAAUUCCAGUUUAGGAAACAAUAAUUUCCUAUCGAUACAUAUAUUUGAUUAACGUGUGUCACGCUUUCCUUGUCACAUAUGCAUUAAAAUUAUCAUUAGAGUGUCUUAGGAUUGUACCUUAUAGCCCCCAACCUCGUCACAUUUGAGGCUUCUAUCACAUUAAAUGUUUGUGGACACAGUUGGAUCCAGAAUCCAGAGCAGGAAAAUCUGUAUGUUAUAGGAGAUGCAUAGGAGUCAGAGAAAGUGAGAAAUCAGAGAAAGAGACCCCA
rnacentral:lncRNA from 1 species